AUAAGCCAGCAUACUUAUAGGGGGCGUUUAUACUCAUGAGUUACCCUUUUCGUCUUUUUUUCUCUUUAAAGAAUCCUUCUUCAACCAGUUUUAUAACGACAUUAAGAUUUGUUUCAAUUUUUUUUUUUUUUUUAUUUGUAUUCGGAACACUUAUUUUUUUUACCCUCACCGCUAUGGUAAAAGCUGCAAUCGCUGCUGCAGAUUGGGCACACUGUAUG
rnacentral:lncRNA from 1 species